ACAGUUACAUCAUGCUGGAAAUACCAGUUCUUGUUUGAUCAUUGAAGUUAAGCAUUGUUGAGCCUAGUCAGUACUUGGGUCAGGGACUGCUUGAGAACAGCACAUACCGUA